UCGCCAUCCUGAAAUACAGGUGUGGGCAGCUCCGAGAUCAGAUAAAAAAAAAUCGCAGAGCAUCCAGGAAACAGCUUGUCGAGGUCAUCAAUGCGGGCGACGCUGUCACCAAAAAACGGAAGGCCGUCGUCGCAAAGGAGGAGAGAAUGCUGCGUCGCAUCAAGAUAUGCCACAAGUUGGAGAGCAAAGUCGCUCCAUUGCUGUCACCGUGGCUGCCCAAUGACAGCUACAUACAGGAUCUCAGCGACUUUCAGGAGAAAACCAUCUGUCAGCAUGAUCUCAGCUACCUUCAGGUGAAAAUCAAUGCCGCCCUGAUCGCCCGGGAUACCCUCAAGAAACAGAGCCCACCUGAUCCAAAAGAAGCA